rnacentral:lncRNA from 1 species
CUCCUUUUAAUUCCCCAAACCCCCCCAAAACCCCUCUGUACCCCCCCAAAACUCCCUCUGUGCCCCCCAGCUCCCGGACAAGCUCAUCCCCAGCCUGGUUAAAUAUUAUUAUUCCUGGAAGAAAACCCGGUCCCGCACCAGCGUCAUGGACCGCCAGGCCCGGCGCCUGCUGGGCCGCCGGGACCGCGACGACAGCAACGACGAGACCGAGGAGCACCGACCCAACCCCGAGGGGGACGUGGAGCCCGCGGACCCCAAAAAAGAGCCCUGCUACGCCAAGGCGGGGCCGCGCAAGGAGCCGCAGUACCGGCACCACCCCCCGGCGCGGCAGCG